GACAGAGGGUGCAAACGUUGUUCGGAAUUACUGGGCGUAAAGCGCGUGUAGGCUGCUCCGCAAGUCGGGUGUGAAAGCCCUGGGCUCAACCCAGGAAGUGCACUCGAAACUGCGGAGCUCGAGUCCUGGAGAGGAAGGCGGAAUUCUCGGUGUAGAGGUGAAAUUCGUAGAUAUCUGGAGGAACACCGGUGGCGAAGGCGGCAUCCUGGACCGACACUGACGCUGAGGAGCGAAAGCCAGGGGAGCAAACGGG
rnacentral:rRNA from 1 species